rnacentral:rRNA from 1 species
UUAAGCGACUAAGCGUACACGGUGGAUGCCCUGGCAGUCAGAGGCGAUGAAGGACGUGCUAAUCUGCGAUAAGCGUCGGUAAGGUGAUAUGAACCGUUAUAACCGGCGAUUUCCGAAUGGGGAAACCCAGUGUGUUUCGACACACUAUCAUUAACUGAAUCCAUAGGUUAAUGAGGCGAACCGGGGGAACUGAAACAUCUAAGUACCCCGAGGAAAAGAAAUCAACCGAGAUUCCCCCAGUAGCGGCGAGCGAACGGGGAGCAGCCCAGAGCCUGAAUCAGUGUGUGUGUUAGUGGAAGCGUCUGGAAAGGCGUGCGAUACAGGGUGACAGCCCCGUACACAAAAAUGCACAUGCUGUGAGCUCGAUGAGUAGGGCGGGACACGUGGUAUCCUGUCUGAAUAUGGGGGGACCAUCCUCCAAGGCUAAAUACUCCUGACUGACCGAUAGUGAACCAGUACCGUGAGGGAAAGGCGAAAAGAACCCCGGCGAGGGGAGUGAAAAAGAACCUGAAACCGUGUACGUACAAGCAGUGGGAGCACGCUUAGGCGUGUGACUGCGUACCUUUUGUAUAAUGGGUCAGCGACUUAUAUUCUGUAGCAAGGUUAACCGAAUAGGGGAGCCGAAGGGAAACCGAGUCUUAACUGGGCGUUAAGUUGCAGGGUAUAGACCCGAAACCCGGUGAUCUAGCCAUGGGCAGGUUGAAGGUUGGGUAACACUAACUGGAGGACCGAACCGACUAAUGUUGAAAAAUUAGCGGAUGACUUGUGGCUGGGGGUGAAAGGCCAAUCAAACCGGGAGAUAGCUGGUUCUCCCCGAAAGCUAUUUAGGUAGCGCCUCGUGAAUUCAUCUCCGGGGGUAGAGCACUGUUUCGGCAAGGGGGUCAUCCCGACUUACCAACCCGAUGCAAACUGCGAAUACCGGAGAAUGUUAUCACGGGAGACACACGGCGGGUGCUAACGUCCGUCGUGAAGAGGGAAACAACCCAGACCGCCAGCUAAGGUCCCAAAGUCAUGGUUAAGUGGGAAACGAUGUGGGAAGGCCCAGACAGCCAGGAUGUUGGCUUAGAAGCAGCCAUCAUUUAAAGAAAGCGUAAUAGCUCACUGGUCGAGUCGGCCUGCGCGGAAGAUGUAACGGGGCUAAACCAUGCACCGAAGCUGCGGCAGCGACGCUUAUGCGUUGUUGGGUAGGGGAGCGUUCUGUAAGCCUGUGAAGGUGUACUGUGAGGUAUGCUGGAGGUAUCAGAAGUGCGAAUGCUGACAUAAGUAACGAUAAAGCGGGUGAAAAGCCCGCUCGCCGGAAGACCAAGGGUUCCUGUCCAACGUUAAUCGGGGCAGGGUGAGUCGACCCCUAAGGCGAGGCCGAAAGGCGUAGUCGAUGGGAAACAGGUUAAUAUUCCUGUACUUGGUGUUACUGCGAAGGGGGGACGGAGAAGGCUAUGUUGGCCGGGCGACGGUUGUCCCGGUUUAAGCGUGUAGGCUGGUUUUCCAGGCAAAUCCGGAAAAUCAAGGCUGAGGCGUGAUGACGAGGCACUACGGUGCUGAAGCAACAAAUGCCCUGCUUCCAGGAAAAGCCUCUAAGCAUCAGGUAACAUCAAAUCGUACCCCAAACCGACACAGGUGGUCAGGUAGAGAAUACCAAGGCGCUUGAGAGAACUCGGGUGAAGGAACUAGGCAAAAUGGUGCCGUAACUUCGGGAGAAGGCACGCUGAUAUGUAGGUGAAGUCCCUCGCGGAUGGAGCUGAAAUCAGUCGAAGAUACCAGCUGGCUGCAACUGUUUAUUAAAAACACAGCACUGUGCAAACACGAAAGUGGACGUAUACGGUGUGACGCCUGCCCGGUGCCGGAAGGUUAAUUGAUGGGGUUAGCCGCAAGGCGAAGCUCUUGAUCGAAGCCCCGGUAAACGGCGGCCGUAACUAUAACGGUCCUAAGGUAGCGAAAUUCCUUGUCGGGUAAGUUCCGACCUGCACGAAUGGCGUAAUGAUGGCCAGGCUGUCUCCACCCGAGACUCAGUGAAAUUGAACUCGCUGUGAAGAUGCAGUGUACCCGCGGCAAGACGGAAAGACCCCGUGAACCUUUACUAUAGCUUGACACUGAACAUUGAGCCUUGAUGUGUAGGAUAGGUGGGAGGCUUUGAAGUGUGGACGCCAGUCUGCAUGGAGCCGACCUUGAAAUACCACCCUUUAAUGUUUGAUGUUCUAACGUUGACCCGUAAUCCGGGUUGCGGACAGUGUCUGGUGGGUAGUUUGACUGGGGCGGUCUCCUCCUAAAGAGUAACGGAGGAGCACGAAGGUUGGCUAAUCCUGGUCGGACAUCAGGAGGUUAGUGCAAUGGCAUAAGCCAGCUUGACUGCGAGCGUGACGGCGCGAGCAGGUGCGAAAGCAGGUCAUAGUGAUCCGGUGGUUCUGAAUGGAAGGGCCAUCGCUCAACGGAUAAAAGGUACUCCGGGGAUAACAGGCUGAUACCGCCCAAGAGUUCAUAUCGACGGCGGUGUUUGGCACCUCGAUGUCGGCUCAUCACAUCCUGGGGCUGAAGUAGGUCCCAAGGGUAUGGCUGUUCGCCAUUUAAAGUGGUACGCGAGCUGGGUUUAGAACGUCGUGAGACAGUUCGGUCCCUAUCUGCCGUGGGCGCUGGAGAACUGAGGGGGGCUGCUCCUAGUACGAGAGGACCGGAGUGGACGCAUCACUGGUGUUCGGGUUGUCAUGCCAAUGGCACUGCCCGGUAGCUAAAUGCGGAAGAGAUAAGUGCUGAAAGCAUCUAAGCACGAAACUUGCCCCGAGAUGAGUUCUCCCUGACCCUUUAAGGGUCCUGAAGGAACGUUGAAGACGACGACGUUGAUAGGCCGGGUGUGUAAGCGCAGCGAUGCGUUGAGCUAACCGGUACUAAUGAACCGUGAGGCUUAACCUU